CACGGGGACUCCAUCAUCUGUACCUGGUCUGGGGACACAUAUUGAAUCCAUGGGCUGAAAACAUCUCCACAAAACUCCUGAGCAGGCCCGUUCAGAGCAGCUUUAUUCCUGACGGCCCAAGCCUAGAAGCAGCCACAACGUCCGUCACUCGGUUUUACCCCUGCACCUGCCCCCAUACCAUUGGAGACUCGGGAGCUGUCACCAGCAAACACCCCUGUGUUCUUCAACGUUUUCUCUGAAGGCUCCCUCCACCCUCACCUCCUUGCUCUGGAAGAAUCCUGGCUGUCCCCAGGGACCUUACUGAACCCAGCCAGGGUCAUGGGCUCAACUGCAGAGUGCUUUAGGGAUGGAUGUCAGCGUGUGGAAGAAAAUUCCAGAGGCAGUGGCCGAUCUCGGCAAAGACAACAACUCUGAGCUGCAAAGGGAUUCCGGAGGACUCUCUUCAUCCGUCUCUUCUGUAAAGAAGUUUUUGGACUAUUUUCCAAUUUAUCCCUCUUCUAUUCUUCCUUUGACCUACACACAGGAGUGAUAGAUCAUCAAAAUGCAUGUCUCCAUAAGUCCAACAUGAGCUUUUUCAAGAAGUGGAAACCAAAAUUCUACAUUGUAAGAAAGCAUCAUUCGUAA